CAAANCCUUCGNAUUCGCGGGNUUGGNANCUCUUGGCGUACUUUUUCGCACGGUUAGUCAACAUCGGUUUUGAAUGUCNUAAAAUGACUGGAGGAAUGUAGCUUCGAUCUCGUAUUGAAGUGUUAUAGCCUUUGGNAGAUGUGAUGUUUGAGACCGAGGAUUGCAACGGAUACCCUUCAGGGCUAUUCGUCUGAUCUCUGAUACGUUGCCUUGAUGUUGAAA
rnacentral:rRNA from 1 species